GAACGAACGCGCUCUGUCUCUCCGCCUCUCAGCUCUCAAACACGUCCACUCGUUUCAAAAAAAAGUCCACCCGUUUCAAACUUCUCCGGCGGCUCCAGGGCCGAGAUCAGGGAUGGGAGGGUGCUUCUCCGGCGACGUCCGCGGCGGCAUGGAGGCCGUCGGCGGGGGCGCGAGGGGGGCGGCGGCGGCGGUGCAGGGCCAGGGCCAGGGCGGGCCUAACGAGGCGGUCGACCACUUCUUCCAGGGCCAGGCGCUGCGCCUCUACACCCCUCUCGAGCUAUCCUUUUCAGCUUCCAAGUUGAGAAAUAUGGAUGCUCUUUCUAAGAGUGAUCCUAUGUUGGUGGUUUACACAAAAAUGGAUGGAAGGCUAGAAGAGAUCGGCCGCACUGAAGUGAUAUUGAAUUCACUGGAACCAUUGUGGAUCACAAAAGCUAUGAUAAAUUACCAAUUUGAGAUUGUUCAACCGCUCGUGUUCAGGAUAUAUGACGUUGACACAAAGUACCAUAACACACCACUGAAGAUGUUGAACUUGGCUCAGCAAGAUUUUCUAGGGGAAGCAUUCUGCAAUUUAUCCGAGAUAGUCACAAAGUUCAACCAUAGCCUGACUUUGAACCUCCGAAAUGGCUCUGGACAUGCCCUUCAGGGCACAGUGACAGUACAUGCGGAAGAAACUGCUUCAUCAAGGAUGGCAGUUGAUAUGCAAUUCCACUGCCUGAACCUGGAUAACAAAGACACGUUCUCCAAAAGUGAUCCCUUCUUGAGAGUAUCAAGACUCUCAGAAAGUGCUGUUGCCAUUCCUAUAUGUAAAACAGAAGUGAUCAAGAACAAUUUAAAUCCUAUUUGGAGGCCUAUAACACUGACAUCACAGCAGUACAGUAGCAAGGAUGACCCACUGCUAGUUGAGUGUUUUGAUUUUGAUGCCAGUGGCAACCACGAACUUAUUGGGUCUCUCCAGACAACUAUCGCUCAGCUUGAAAAUCUAUAUAACUCAAAGGCUGGAGCAAAUUUUUACAGCCAUAAGGGACAAAAGAAGUUGAAAGGACAGUUGUUCUUGGAUAAGUUCCAGGAAAAAGUUCAACAUACUUUCUUGGACUAUAUUUCCAGUGGGUUUGAGCUCAAUUUUAUGGUGGCUGUAGAUUUUACUGCAUCAAAUGGUGACCCUCGCGUACCACAAUCUUUGCACUACAUUGACCCCUCUGGCAGACCAAACUCAUACCAGCAGGCAAUUCUAGGGGUAAGCGAAGUUCUACAGUUUUAUGACAAUGAUAGACGAUUCCCUGCAUGGGGUUUUGGUGCAAAGAUACCACGAGGAUCUGUAUCCCACUGUUUCAACUUGAAUGCAAGCACCAAUGACUGUGAGGUAGUUGGAGUUGAAGGCAUCAUGUCAGCGUACUCUUCUACUCUUUACAGUGUUUCUCUUGCGGGACCAACCUUGUUUGGGCCAGUGAUCAGCAAAGCUGCAGAAAUUGCCAGCCAUUCUGUGCAAUAUGCAAACAACAAAUAUUUUGUCCUGCUCAUUAUCACGGAUGGAGUUAUCACCGACCAGCAAGAAACAAAAGAUUCUAUUGUAAGGGCAUCAGAUUUGCCGUUGUCGAUUCUCAUCGUGGGAGUCGGGAAUGCUGAUUUCACUCAAAUGAGGAUCCUGGAUGCGGACUUCGGUAAGCGGCUUGAAAGCUCAACAGGCAGGGUCGCGACGCGCGACAUCGUCCAGUUCGUCCCCAUGAGGGAAGUCCAAGCAGGUGGGCAGGUCACCGUUGUCCAGAGCCUGCUGGAGGAGCUGCCUGGGCAGUUCCUGGAGUACAUGCGCACUCGGGACAUCAAGCCGCGACCGCCCCAGCACGCCUCAGCGCCGCCAGCUUACCACCCUCCUCCUCCCCAGCUGUGAAGGAACCCCGCCGGGUCCGCCACCCCACACAAGCUGGUCUGCGCGUACGUACCAGCUGGCAAUUGUAGAUUCCACCGUCUAUCUGUCUGACUAACUCCCGUCGCCGUUGUCUCCACAUCACGUUAGGUACUGAACCCCGUCGAUAACUUCUCCACCCAGGUUUAGGACGUGGCUGCAAACACUACGUAUGAAAAAUGAGACGCCUCCUUGUAUUUUUCUCGCUGAACUGCUGCUAUGUUGGUCACUUUGUCGCCGACAAGGAAUUAUCUCCAGGCCACCCAUCCUGUCACUCUGUGCGUUUACUUGAGGUUUUGUUUAUCGUUCAUCCCAAUUCAUGGGUCGGCUAUCCGCGGUCGCCUGUUGCUGGAGAAGGUGAAGGAGAAAAAUUGCGGGAGGCUUGGUAUCACAUUUGUUAAGCAGAGGCAUAAUGUACUCUUUUCAACCUUUGGACUAAAUAGGCGGGACUGAAAUUAUUCAAUUUAGUUAAGUGUCGCUAACUUAUCCAGGACUCCUCUUUUUCCUCGGUGAAACAAGAAAUCAUUUUAUUAAAAUGAAAUUCCUGAGCGUUUGAUGAAAAACUACCACUUUAGGGUUCCUGUCCCACGGAACUACUACUUUAAAAAAAAAACUGACCAAUGACCAAAGUCUACCGAUUUUUUUUUAAUUUUGUGUAUAAAAACUACCAAGUCCGGUUGAUGACCGUUUCAAGCGAUUUAAAGACUGGAGUGGCCCACCUCUAUGCCUAACGGCUAACGGCGCCAUCAGCUGCCCGUGAGUGCUGCUGCUUGGUUGGGUCGUGCCAGACCAGGUCAAACCAUCUCGACCGGCUCCCCCGUUCCCCAUCUCACUCUCCCUUGAGCUCCUCCCUAGCCCUAGGCGGCGGCUCUAGUGGCAGCCAUGGAUGCAAACUCCAGCGGCACAAAUCAUUUGGCGGCAUACCUACAGACGUCGGCGGCUGGGGGGGGGGGGGUUGGUGACUUCUCGCAGGUGGAUAACUAGCUAGGCAGCAUGAGCUUCACGGCGCAGCAGCUUUCCCAUCCAGAAUCACAACAUUCGCACAAGUUGGCUUGGUCAGUGCCGGCUCAACCACUGUCGACUACAAGGAGUACAUCGUGAGGCCGGUGCAAGCUUCCUCGUCCUGGGGGCAGCGACAGAUUCAGAUGGCAACAAUGUGGAACAUCAGGCGAUGACUCCUUUGAAGAUGAAUCUACAAAACAAGAUACAACGGUGCUACUGAAACUCAGCGAGUGAGAAAUCCUGGUCCAACCAGUAGAUCCCACCAUGAGGUUAAGAAAAAAGGAAAAACCAGAUUGGUUUUCUAAAGCAGAUGAAAUAUGUUUCCCUAGUGAUUUUGGCAUUAGUGAUGAAGAUGAGCCUGAAGGAUCCUAUAAAGUACCAGGUGGUAGGAAGAGAAGGAAUAAAAAUUUGAAGGACAUGAUAUGGUUUAAUGGCAUACUUCCAGGACCAGUAGGACAAUUUUGUAAGGGAUUGUGCUUCACUAGUGUCUAUGAGUUCAGAAAUGCACUUAGGGAUUUCCACAUUAGGACUUUGAGGAUUUUUCAAUAUCAUAGAAAUGCCCCUAAUAGGAUUAUUGUUUGCUCUCGGAGAGAGCCCAGGGAUGUGACUUUUAUAUCGAUGCCUCUAAGUUAGCUCAUGAAAAAACUUUCUGCAUCAAGAAGUAUGAUAUGCUGCAUACUUGUAGAGCAUGUGCAGAGACCACAAAGGUUACUACAAAGUGAUUGUCCAGGUCAGUACAGGCAUCACUGAGAGACAUUAGAUCUCCUGUGGAUGCAUUAAUUAAAAAUACCAAGACUAAGUUUU
rnacentral:rRNA from 1 species